ACACACUGAGUGACUAGCUCUACCUUUAUCAAAGUAAACCACAACAGGUUUCACUACUUGAAUGAAAUAAAGCCUGAAAGGAGAUAUGAAAAUGAGACAGUGAGAUUAACACUAGGCUUGAUAGAAGACUUCCUGGUAGCUGCUCCUGCUCAGAAAGUCCCUUAGUAAAGUGAAUUAGUGAGUUUUAUGCACACGUUGGUAGUAUUGCUUUACCUAAUGCGGUCCAUGUUAUGCCAUGCUCUCUUCCCCUCCCACAGACUUGAAUGCUUUGUGUUCAUGGUUAUGUAGCCUGCAUCCCUUUUUCUUUUGGCGCUGGGUAGAUGAACUAGUCUUCAGUGUAUUGUGGAGGUAGAGCAAGGUGGGAGAAUCAGACAACAUGAAAAUGUCACGGCCUGUCUGGAGCUAACAACAGGAGCAAACAGAGGUGAACUUUGGAGAAGCUGAAGAGCCUGGUUGACCCUGAGCUGAGAAUGGGGUGUGCCACUCCUGCUGCAAGCUCAUUCCAUGGCUGGAUGCCUUGCUGUCACCCUCAUGGCUGGGUCCAUGCGGGGCAGUGGGAAACACAGCCUGGCUCAGCCUCCUGCCCUGCAAGCAUGAAACAGUACUGCAAUGUCUUGACAGGCCAUUGCCAGGAGCUGAGAAGCCUACCAGGAGAGAGAGGAACAAAUGUUUCUGGAAUACGUGACCAAGGAACAACAAUCCUGUGGGGUAUUGUCAAUUUUUAUUGACUUCCCAGUAAAGCAGAAAUCAGUGAAACAGAUUGCUACAGAUAUAACUUGCUGGAUACACAUGUGACAUCCAUGCAAAGCUCUGACCAAGCAAUAAUUUCUCCUAGAACUGAUGUUAGCCCUCCAAGGCGACCAGCGGUGUUCGGUUUGCAUUUAGCAGGAGCCCACGCUGGGCUGCAAAGCACCCUGGUCUGCCUGCAGCUCUCCUCCCUCUCCUCACCAGCCCACAUGCCUGCAGGACCCGGAGGGUGCUUUUAUUAGCAUCGAGCUCUGAGCGGCUACCGCUCAGGGGAUGCGUGUGCCCGGCGCUUUUGUUCCUUGCAGCCCAGGCUGCCCAUGGCCUAUUUUCUGGAAAUCUUUGCAUCUCAGGCUGACAAACUGGCUUUGCACUCUCCUUCAGCAAGGAAAUGGAAUGUCCCUUGGGGUGUGGAGACAAAAAUUUCCUCUAUUUGAAGAUGUUUCUGUGUCAUCUUUCUCUUCAGUCAGUGUUUCAAGGUCAGAUGGUACCAGCAUGCACCCUUGUCCUCAAUGGACUGAAGGCAUGCAAAGCAUUAGGCUUCCUCUGGCUUUUUCUCAGUUGUCUGCUUAUCCAUGUAGAAGGGACAGGAGACUUUGUCUUUCCAAGAAUAAAGAGUGUACUUUGUAUUAUAAUACACGAACUUUUCAGCUGCUGCAGCUCUCAUUUUCCCAUUUCUUCCCUGGUUAGUACCCAUUUUCUACCAAGAAAUGUUUUAGACACGAGAGAAACAGUAAAAUAGCAAUGUGUUUCAGGAGGUGCUGCAAAGGACCAGAAGGGGGAAUUUUUAAUUUCAGAAAACAGUUGUGUCUUCAAGGCCUUGUAGCUGGUGCAGUUCUAGGAAAUGCUUUGAACUGGAGAAGUCUAUGAGAUUUUUUUUUUUUGAGUGACUCAUGCUUUUUAUAGAUUACCAGUUUCACAGCCUUAGAGGCUGAUAAGUCUGUGUGCAGAGCAGGUGCAGCAAGUGCCCUGUGGAGGCCUUACUGUGCAGAGCAGGGAGUUUCCUUCAGCGUUGCUGCAGAGACACGUCCAUGUGUGUGGCCUUGAGUUCUCAGCCGUGCUGAUGUGCUAGCUGUAGGGGCUCCCAGGGCUUUCGGAUGGACAUCUAUCUAUAUGAGCACAGGGGGGAGAAUGGAGAGGAUAGUUGCAGGCAUCUCGAUGUAAAUUUGCAGCCUUAGUGGUAGUGGGGAAGAGAAAGCUGAUGUGGGGAGGCUGGAGGAAAGACCUGCGCAGAAGCAGCUGUGUGCUGUGAAGUGGGAAAAUGAAUUUCACAUGCCCACAGGUACAUCAUGACAGCACCUGAGUGUUCCUGUGGAGGCACUGAGCUCUAACCCUCAGCAUGCCAGUGUUUGAAAGGAAACUUAAGCAGGCUUUAGAUACAGCCCACUUUGUGCACAAGUGUGUUGUUAUUGCUGCGCUACCUUCCCUUCCAGCAAAUUUAUGGCUUCUUAUAAGACUUUUUCUGGUAAAUGGAAGUGGAAGGAGUGGGAAGUUGAGGGGAGAUAUAAAUGCAGCAUGACAGUGCUUUAUUAGUUACAGUUAUUAGAUAGUUAUUGGUUCCGCAUGGGGUUAACACCUGAAUCUAAGAGUGAUUUUGCAGUAAUCCACAACACACUAGUUUUUGGAGCUGCAACAAUCUUUCUUCUUUUCCUCUGUUUGUGGCAUGCUCCUAAAUAGUCUUCUUUCAAAUACCUUGUCUAGGUGCUUUCUAAACAUAUGCAGAGCAAAUGUAAGGCCUGGUUCUUCUCCAGGAAAGCAGCUUGAAUGUUUGGUUCUUUCAUCAGCAAGAUGAGAGUUGGCUUCUCUGUGCCUGCUCCUGUUCUCAGUCUGCACCAGGGUACCUUUUCUUCCAGAUGCUUGGUUCCCACUGGAAAUUAAUUUCAUAUAGGAGCAUUUUUUAAUAGGAUGCUGACAUAAUUUGGUCCCACAUCUGGGCUAAGUGGUGGCAUGAGCCCUCCUUCUCCCUGGGUGCUGUGUCCCACAUCUGUUGCUCUGUGGGGCAUUGCUGGCUCAGCAUCACCCAGCGAUGACGCACCUCCUGGUAUCAGGAUGCACCUUGGCCUCAGAAAAAUAGAAAAAGCCUCAUCCUGCAGACCUUCACAUGCAGCUCUUUCCUUAUAACUUUCUUUAUGAUGUUUGGAGGCAGGGGGUUGUGUAGAGGUUGGAGGACGGCACCUAUUUGCUGCUGCCUCUCGAUUACCUUGAGGCAAGUUAGCUAGGUUGUACAUUAACUGUGCACUAAAGUCCAGCAAUUACAGAGCCAUUAUAGAUAUGCCAUUAUGUAUAUUCUUAUGUUUAUGACUUUGUUAUUUCUUAUCCUCAUU